GUAGGUGAACCUGCGGAAGGAUCAUUAUUGAAAGAAACCUCAGGCAGGGGGAGGUGGUUGUAGCUGGCCCUUAGGGGCAUGUGCACACUGUGUCUCUCUUGCUUGUUUCUUCAUUCUCUCCACUUGUGCACUGCUUGUAGGCAGCCUUGGCAUUGUUCAGGUUGUCUAUGAUUUUCUUUACAUACAUGAACACUUGUUGUACAGAAUGUGAUAACAAAAUAGUAAUACAACUUUCAACAACGGAUCUCUUGGCUCUC
rnacentral:misc_RNA from 1 species